UGGGGAAUAUUGCACAAUGGGCGCAAGCCUGAUGCAGCCAUGCCGCGUGUGUGAAGAAGGCCUUCGGGUUGUAAAGCACUUUCAGCGAGGAGGAAGGUGGUGAACUUAAUACGUUCAUCAAUUGACGUUACUCGCAGAAGAAGCACCGGCUAACUCCGUGCCAGCAGCCGCGGUAAUACGGAGGGUGCAAGCGUUAAUCGGAAUUACUGGGCGUAAAGCGCACGCAGGCGGUUUGUUAAGUCAGAUGUGAAAUCCCCGGGCUCAACCUGGGAACUGCAUUUGAAACUGGCAAGCUAGAGUCUCGUAGAGGGGGGUAGAAUUCCAGGUGUAGCGGUGAAAUGCGUAGAGAUCUGGAGGAAUACCGGUGGCGAAGGCGGCCCCCCUGGACGAAGACUGACGCUCAGGUGCGAAAGCGUGGGGAGCAAACAGAUUAGAUACCCUGGUAGUCCACGCUGUAAACGAUGUCGAUUUGGAGGUUGUGCCCUUGAGGCGUGGCUUCCGGAGCUAACGCGUUAAAUCGACCG
rnacentral:rRNA from 1 species